rnacentral:tRNA from 1 species
UUCCUCGUGGCCCAAUGGUCACGGCGUCUGGCUACGAUUUCUCAGUCACUUCUGAAACCAGAAGAUUCCAGGUUCGAGUCCUGGCGGGGAAG